CCCUUAGAUGUCCCGGGCUGCACGCGCGCUACACUGGAAGUUACGGAUUGAGAUACUACCUUGUCCGAAAUGGUCCGGGUAAUCACCUAAAAGCUUGUCAUAAUUGGAAUGGAUUAUUGUAACUAGUAAUCCUGAACGAGGAAUUCCUAGUAAGUCCCAGUCAACAGCUGGUACUGAUUACGUCCCUGCCCUUUGUACACACCGCCCGUCGCUACUACUGAUUGGACGUUUAAGCAAGAUUUUUAAACACUGACAGUGUGUAGUUCACGCUAUACUACAGUGAGAAGAAGAAGAUCGAGCUUACUUGUCUAGAGGAAGUAAAAGUCGUAACA
rnacentral:rRNA from 1 species